GAUGAAGAACGUAGCGAAAUGCGAUAAGUAAUGUGAAUUGCAGAAUUCCGUGAAUCAUCGAAUCUUUGAACGCACAUUGCGCCCCCUGGCAUUCCGGGGGGCAUGCCUGUCCGAGCGUCAUUUCUGCCCUCCAGCCCGGCUGGGUGUUGGGCGCUGUCCCCCCGGGGACACGCCCCAAAGGCAGUGGCGGCGCCGCGUCGGGUCCUCGAGCGUAUGGGGCUUUGUCACCCGCUCGGGACGGACUCGUCGGCGCUGGUCUUCCUCCAGGCGACCCUUCGGGGCUCGUCUUCCUUCGGUUGACCUCGGAUCAGGUAGGGUUACCCGCUGAACUUAAGCAUAUCAAUAAGGGAGGA
rnacentral:misc_RNA from 1 species